AGUGAACGCUGGCGGCAGGCCUAACACAUGCAAGUCGAGCGGCAGCGCGGGGGCAACCCUGGCGGCGAGCGGCGGACGGGUGAGGAAUUCGUCGGAAUCUGCCUUUUUGUGGGGGAUAACGUAGGGAAACUUACGCUAAUACCGCAUACGUCCUACGGGAAAAAGUGGGGGACCGCAAGGCCUCACGCAGAAAGAUGAGCCGACGACCGAUUAGCUAGUUGGUGGGGUAAAGGCCCACCAAGGCGACGAUCGGUAGCUGGUCUGAGAGGAUGAUCAGCCACACUGGGACUGAGACACGGCCCAGACUCCUACGGGAGGCAGCAGUGGGGAAUAUUGGACAAUGGGCGCAAGCCUGAUCCAGCCAUGCCGCGUGUGUGAAGAAGGCCUUCGGGUUGUAAAGCACUUUUGUCCGGAAAGAAAUCCCUGGAGCUAAUACCUUCGGGGGAUGACGGUACCGGAAGAAUAAGCACCGGCUAACUUCGUG
rnacentral:rRNA from 1 species